UAUGGAAAAAUAUAUUUUAUUAUCUUCCCCAGUGUGUACCACGAUAAGAUUGCAUUGCACUAUAAUCCCUUGACGCUUGAUGGCGAUGUGGAUCUUUUCGAAUGGCGCCAUUGUGGUGAUUCGUUCACCGUCGAAGAAGAAUUUGAGCGCUUUGAUUGGCUGAAAGCAGAAACGCAGGAAGCGUGCAACAGUGCUCAUGCAGUACGCAAGUGUAAUGUUUAUAUUGUGUGACAUGAAGCAGUAAACUUAGUUAUUAUUCUACAAUGUCCGAACUGAAUGAUUAUUUAGAAGGAAAGAUAACUUUCGAGGAGUUUGAAAGGCGGAGAGAGGAAAGAAAAGCAAAGGAUAAGGUAAUAACAUCCCGCUUUUAUUCUAGCGUCUAUAUGAAUGUGUGCAGUACGUGUCUGUUAUAGUGCGUGUAUACUGUAUGUCCACUGAGCAGUUAUUUCGGGAUGUGAUUUGUACAUGCACCAUGGUAUUGUGGAAGUAUUAUGGAGUGGCAUGUGUCUCGUGUUGUUUCAGGAGCAGAAGGGAGAUGUGUCAGAAUAUGAUGAAGCUGCUGAUCAGGACGCAGUUCCGUCCACUUCAAAACCAAGUGCUAAAGAAACACGCAGCCGUCAGACAGAGACGGCAGAAGAAGGAGUCAGUCCAUCUGUUCAGAAAGCUUUUGCCUCCAUGAUCGGAGAGGGACUGGAGGAGUGUGUGGAGGAGGAUGAAGAUGAUGAAGAUGGAAAGAUGGAGUGGAGAGACAUCGGAGAGGAGGAUGGAGACGACGACGAUGACGACGAUGAUGAUGAUGA
ensembl:lncRNA